AAUUGGAGGGCAAGUCUGGUGCCAGCAGCCGCGGUAAUUCCAGCUCCAAUAGCGUAUAUUAAAGUUGUUGCAGUUAAAAAGCUCGUAGUUGAAUUUCGGGAUCAGCAGGUUGGUCGUGCCACUGGUAUGUACUGGCCUUGCUGAUUCCUCCCUCUUGAUGAGCCGUAAUGCCAUUAAUUUGGUGUUGCGGGGAAUCAGGACUGUUACUUUGAAAAAAUUAGAGUGUUUAAAGCAGGCAAGCGCUUGAAUACAUUAGCAUGGAAUAAUGAAAUAGGACGUUCGAUCCUAUUUUGUUGGUUUCUAGGAUUGACGUAAUGAUUAAUAGGGAUAGUUGGGGGCAUUAGUAUUCAAUUGUCAGAGGUGAAAUUCUUGGAUUUAUUGAAGACUAACUACUGCGAAAGCAUUUGCCAAGGAUGUUUUCAUUAAUCAAGAACGAAAGUUAGGGGAUCGAAGACGAUCAGAUACCGUCGUAGUCUUAACCAUAAACUAUGCCGACUAGGGAUCGGAUGAUGUUAAUUUUUUAAUGACUCAUUCGGCGCCUUACGGGAAACCAAAGUGU
rnacentral:rRNA from 1 species